rnacentral:rRNA from 1 species
UACGAAGGGGGCUAGCGUUGCUCGGAAUCACUGGGCGUAAAGCGCACGUAGGCGGAUUGCUAAGUCAGGGGUGAAAUCCUGGAGCUCAACUCCAGAACUGCCUUUGAUACUGGCGAUCUUGAGUUCCGGGAGAGGUGAGUGGAACUGCGAGUGUAGAGGUGAAAUUCGUAGAUAUUCGCAAGAACACCAGUGGCGAAGGCGGCUCACUG